ACUCAAAUGAAUUGACGGGGACCCGCACAAGCAGCGGAGCGUGUGGUUUAAUUCGAUGCGACGCGAAGAACCUUACCAGGGUUUGACAUGCUGUUGCACCGGGUAGAGAUAUCCGUUCCCGCAAGGGACAGCAGCACAGGUGCUGCAUGGCUGUCGUCAGCUCGUGCCGUGAGGUGUUGGGUUAAGUCCCCCAACGAGCGCAACCCCUAUCGUUGGUUGUAUUUUUCCAGCGAAACUGCCCGCAAGGGAGGAAGGAGGGGAUGACGUCAAGUCAGCACGGCCCUUACAUCCUGGGCUACACACACGCUACAAUGGCUGGUACAAUGGGCUGCCAACCCGCAAGGGGGAGCCAAUCCCACCAAAGCCAGCCUCAGUUCAGAUUGGCGGCUGCAACCCGCCGCCAUGAAGGUGGAGUUGCUAGUAACCGCAGGUCAGCACACUGCGGUGAAUACGUUCCCGGGUCUUGUACACACCGCCCGU
rnacentral:rRNA from 1 species